rnacentral:rRNA from 1 species
CCCUUAGAUGUUCUGGGCCGCACGCGUGCUACACUGAGUGGAUCAGCGGGUCAGGUUGCGCGAAAGUGUUUCCUAAUCUUGAAAUCCGCUCGUGAUGGGGAUUGACGGUUGCAAUUUUCCGUCAUGAACGAGGAAUACCUUGUAAGCGCGGGUCAUCAGCCCGCGCUGAAUACGUCCCUGCCCUUUGUACACACCGCCCGUCGCUCCUACCGAUUGAGUGGUCCGGUGAGGCUUUGGGAUCUGAGCAAAAAGAGCGUUUCGCUCGUUUGGCUCGGAAAACUCAGUCGAACCUUAUCAUUUAGAGGAAGGAGAAGUCGUAACA